AUUGAACGCUGGCGGCAUGCUUUACACAUGCAAGUCGAACGGCAGCACGAGUGCUUGCACUUGGUGGCGAGUGGCGGACGGGUGAGUAAUACAUCGGAACGUAUCCUUAAGUGGGGGAUAACGCAUCGAAAGAUGUGCUAAUACCGCAUAUUCUCUGUGGAGGAAAGUAGGGGAUCGAAAGACCUUAUGCUUAUGGAGCGGCCGAUGCCUGAUUAGCUUGUUGGUGGGGUAAUGGCCUACCAAGGCGACGAUCAGUAGUUGGUCUGAGAGGACGACCAGCCACACUGGGACUGAGACACGGCCCAGACUCCUACGGGAGGCAGCAGUGGGGAAUUUUGGACAAUGGGCGAAAGCCUGAUCCAGCAAUGCCGCGUGAGUGAAGAAGGCCUCGGUUGUAAG
rnacentral:rRNA from 1 species